rnacentral:lncRNA from 1 species
UCUCCCUUCUAACACUCUAGUAGCGCCACUUUGGUGACGUUCGUGCUGCGUCGAAUAAGGUGGCAUCGAUCUCUUCCUCACCACGACAACGUUUUUCGAGCGACGCGCUGAGCCGAUUGCCUCGUCUGCUUGUCGUUCGUUCGGAUCGGUAGGCCAUAUGUUUCCCGUGUCUAGCAGCUCUCGUCCCUUCUGGCGGCACCGACAAUUGGAACAAAUUGGUGCAGGUACAAGGUUAGUGGCCCGAUGGCGACGGAUCAGGUACAAGGUUAGUGGCCCGACGACGGCGGAUUUGGCAUUCUUCCCCGGCAACAGUGGUGGAAUGCGUCAGAUCUGGAUCCAAGUCGGCGUGGGAAACAUUCCUCACACGGCGGAUUUGGCAUUCUUCCCCGGCAACAGUGGUGGAAUGCGUCAGAUCUGGAUCCAAGUCGGCGUCGGAAACAUUCCUCACACGCCACAUCGUCAAGCACCUGUGUUGAAGGUCUAGUCUUCAGCUCACAACGCCUACAAGUCUAUGACGCUAGCCUCAAUUUUGGUGUGUUCAAGGUCUAGUCUUCAGCUCAUAACGCCUACAAGUCUAUGACACUAGCCUCAAUUUUGGUUUGUUGGUUCUUCGCCUCUUUACUUGGUGUGCGCGUCAGUGAUGUCGACGAUCGAGGACGGUUUUAGAUUUGGUUGUUCGCAC